UGGCCUUAGUACGGCGAGUGAAGCGGCAAAAGCUCAAAUUUGAAAUCUGGUACCUUCGGUGCCCGAGUUGUAAUUUGGAGAGGGCAACUUUGGGGCCGUUCCUUGUCUAUGUUCCUUGGAACAGGACGUCAUAGAGGGUGAGAAUCCCGUGUGGCGAGGAGUGCGGUUCUUUGUAAAGUGCCUUCGAAGAGUCGAGUUGUUUGGGAAUGCAGCUCUAAGUGGGUGGUAAAUUCCAUCUAAAGCUAAAUAUUGGCGAGAGACCGAUAGCGAACAAGUACAGUGAUGGAAAGAUGAAAAGAACUUUGAAAAGAGAGUGAAAAAGUACGUGAAAUUGUUGAAAGGGAAGGGCAUUUGAUCAGACAUGGUGUUUUGUGCCCUCUGCUCCUUGUGGGUAGGGGAAUCUCGCAUUUCACUGGGCCAGCAUCAGUUUUGGUGGCAGGAUAAAUCCAUAGGAAUGUAGCUUGCCUCGGUAAGUAUUAUAGCCUGUGGGAAUACUGCCAGCUGGGACUGAGGACUGCGACGUAAGUCAAGGAUGCUGGCAUAAUGGUUAUAUGCCGCCCGUCUUGAACACACGGAACCA
rnacentral:rRNA from 1 species